rnacentral:lncRNA from 1 species
CGCAACGUUCUUUUAUCCCGAUGCAUUAUAUACGUUAAGGUCUUUUUUUUUGCCCGGCUCGAGUCGUUCUCGGGACUUGUCUUGAUGUCAUCCAACCGUCGUGAGCGACGGUGGAUUAGGCGAGUCGCUUACUUGCGCUUGGCGCGGGUGGCAGACUUGGCGGGCUUGGCGUUGCCCUUGAGCUUGUCGCUGAAACCCGCGACGGCGCAGGAGAGGAAAGCGAUGGCCAUGGCGGCCUUGUUCUCGGUGUCCUUGGCGGGGAUGGACACGGCUUUCUCGCCGGGGGUGUGCAUCUGCCAGAGCUGGACGAGGACGGUGAGCGCGCGCAUCUUGGCGAACUCCAUCUUCUCGGCGUUGGAGGCGGUCUGCAUGAUGGCGAGGAUCUGAAGCGUCACCUGGGCCCACAUGGUCACGGUCCAAGCCAUCAUGCCGUAGAGACCGGCCUCGGCGCGGCACGGGCCCUUGCAGUUGUAGUUGGCUCCGGGAAAGUCAGUCCAGAUGAACUGCAUGAUGUAGAAGAAGAAGAGGGUGAACUGGACGAGAAGGCCCGCGUGGGUGAGGUCGGACAUGGAGGGAACCUUGAUGACGUUCUUGACCGCCUUCAUGUUGCCGUUGAGGUUGUAGAGGCCGACCAUCGUGAAGACGGUGGUGAUGGCGCCGCCCUGGAGGAACUCGUUGUGGACGGUUUCGCCGCCCCAGGCCUUGGAGCCCUGCGCGGCGAAGACGCCGACGCGCAUGAAGCAGCCGAAGACGUUGACGAGGAUGGUGCGGAGGGCGGUCUGCUCGCCGGUCUUGAACGCGACGAAAAGGCAGUCGAGGCCGCACACGAUGGCGCCGAUACCGGCCCACUGAGCGGCGGACCAGCCGACGGGGCCGGAUUUCUUGCCCUGAAACUUCGAGCCGGCGUCCUCCAGGCCGAGGGUCUCACCCAUGAAGGAGGCGCCGUAGAAGAUGUAGCAGAUGCCGUAGACCACGAGGGUCUUCUGCGCGAAGGACUUGUUAUCGAGAACCAU